GAACCUGCGGAAGGAUCAUU
rnacentral:ncRNA from 21 species